GCCUGGGUGGCUCAGUCGGUUGAACAUCUGACUUUGGCUCAGGUCAUGAUCUCACAGUUUGUGGGUUCGAGCCCCGUAUCAGGCU
rnacentral:tRNA from 1 species